rnacentral:rRNA from 1 species
GGGAAUCUUAGACAAUGGGGGCAACCCUGAUCUAGCCAUGCCGCGUGAGUGAUGAAGGCCUUAGGGUUGUAAAGCUCUUCCAGCUGGGAAGAUAAUGACGGUACCAGCAGAAGAAGCCCCGGCUAACUCCGUGCCAGCAGCCGCGGUAAUACGGAGGGGGCUAGCGUUGUUCGGUAUUACUGGGCGUAAAGCGCACGUAGGCGGACCAGAAAGUUGGAGGUGAGAUCCCAGGGCUCAACCUUGGAACUGCCUUCAAAACUAUUGGUCUGGAGUUCGAGAGAGGUGAGUGGAAUUCCGAGUGUAGAGGUGAAAUUCGUAGAUAUUCGGAGGAACACCAGUGGCGAAGGCGGCUCACUGGCUCGAUACUGACGCUGAGGUGCGAAAGCGUGGGGAGC